UUAUUUUUUGCUCAUGUUCUGUUGUGCCACCUAUUUUUCCCACUUCCUCACGUUCCAUUUUUCUUUUCUUUCUUUCAUUUUUCCUUUUGUUUCUUUCUCUUUCUUCAAUUUCUGUUAUUGAAUUUUCUUUUUCACGCGCAUUUCUUUUGUUGCAACUCCUUCUGUUAGAUUUCUUUAGCUUUCUACUUUUUUUAUCUUUUCUUUUUCUUUCUUCUCGUUUGUUUCCGUUAAAUUGCGAAUAGCACUUUAUUGUUCACUAGGGCCGCUUAUUUUCUGUCGCCAUCAUUUAGAUUGUUAUUCUUCCCGUAAUAAUCUUCAAGUAAGAUUUAUGAAGUGCAUACUCUCUCAGCGAGUUGAGGAUUUCGACAAUAUUCUAUUCAAGGAUUUUGGUGUGCUAUUAUUCUGCCAACAUCCGGAAAGUAAUCAAGUGUGUGGCGCUAACUCAAAAUUUCGUAAAACAGUGAAAGAUUGAAAUUGUUGAUGUCACACGAUCGUGUGUCUGGCCGUGUGCCAGGUUGUGUAAGCCACACGGAUGUGUACCAGGCUGUGUGGGCCACACGGGCUGUGCCAGGUCGGGCAUGUGGGCUCAUUUUCAGUAACCCUCAGGCUUAGGAUUGGGCAGCGUUUGGGGCUCGGAUUGGUCAUUCUCGCAUUGAACGAUUUAAUUUGAUUUCACGAUUAAUCUUGGACGGUUUGGACAGUUGGAUAAUUUUCUGGACAUUAUUUUUGGUUUUGGACUAGUUGUUGAACUUUAAUAUUUUGUUUUCGCUAAACUGUAAAA